rnacentral:lncRNA from 1 species
GCUGGGCAUGGGAGUAUAUGCCUGUAGUCCAAGCUACUUGGAAGGCUAAGGUGGGAGGAUUGCUUGAGCACAAGAAGUUGAGGCUGCAGUGAGCCAAGAUUUCACCACUGCACUCCAGCCUGGAUGACAGAGUGAGAUCCUGUUCCAAAAAGAAGAGAAAUCUUUUUUUUUUUUUUAGACAGAAUCUCACUCUAUCAGCCAGGUUGGAGUGCAGUGGUACGAUCUUGGCUCUUUGCAACCUCCAUCUCCCGGGCUCAAGCAAUUCUCCUGCC